GACGGACGGACGGACAUGACGGUUCCAUAAGCCCUGACUCGGGCUAAAAAGCUGUGGAAAUUAUUAUUUUCGACUUCCAUGUAUGUCAUGGUCAAAGUAUUUUCUUGCAAAAACAAUCGCCAUGACUUUGAUGGUAUUGGUCCUGCAAUGCAAAUUUUUGCGACCAUGACUAACAUGGUUUUGGUCUUUCGAUGUGUAAAAAAUAUGACAUGAACACCAUGGUUUAGGAAACUUGGUGUAAAAUUUUUCUCCAUGACAUUCAUGGUCAAAGUUCAUUCCCCAUUUUCGACUAUAAAAUGUAAAUGCUUAAAAGGUUAAAUACAUUCCGAUAUUAAUUUCAGUCUGAAAUGGGGAAAAAUAAAAUUCUGCUAACAAUUUCCAUCUUUGUGUUGGUGGAAAUCCAUCGGGAAGUAUUAGGGGUCGGAAGUUGCGCAUGGUCUGGAUGCGGCUUUCAUGCAAAAUGCGCGACUGAACUAACUGGUGGAUCUGGUCGGACAAUGUUUGUGGCGCGGGAUUCGUGUGGACCGCUCGGACUUCAGCACUCGGAUUUAUGUUGUACGCCAACUUGCGAAUGGUCACCUUGCGGACAGAAAUGCGAUCAGUGGGUAAAACCAGAUAGACAAACGUUUCAUGGAGUGGAACAUCCCGACGGGGAAAAAUACUGUGAGUUAUCUUUGAAUAGGCCGGGAGUCGGGCCAAUUACAUUGCCGAACAAAAGAUGGUUUUGCUGUCCGAAUUAAAGAUUAUUCACUCUUCUUGGAAUUAUGUAAACAAAACGUAGUUGUUUCUCUUAUGUAAUCGGAGAAUGAGCAUACAAGCGUCAUUACGUUGAUGUAUCAAUUUUUGUUUGCCCAUUUGUCAAAAUUUUUAAACGUAGUCAGUUAAUGCGAAUAAAUAUUGAUUCAUGCAUCCCUUAAGAAUUUGGGGAAAUCCUUUAAA